rnacentral:rRNA from 1 species
GGAUUAGAUACCCUAUUAUUUUUGAUAUAAAUUAUUUUUAACCUGAGUAGUAUUAGUUAAGGUCUUGAAACUUAAAGAAUUUGGCGGUAUUUUAGUCUAUUUAGAGGAAUCUGUCCCUUAAUCGAUAAUCCACGUUGAACCUUACCAAGUUUAUUAUAUGUAUACCGCCGUUAUAAUGAGAAUCUUUUUAGGGUUUAAUAAUUUUCUUGAUUUUUUAUUAAAAAUUAUUUCAGGUCAAGGUGCAGUUUAUGACUUGGUGGAGAUGGAUUACAUUUUUAUUAUUAUUGGAUUAUUGAAUGUAAAUUUGGUAUGAAAUUGGAUUUAAUUGUAAUUUUUUGUAGAUUAUAAAAGUGAUUUUAGCUCUAUAAUAUGUACACAUCGCCCGUCGCUCUCAUUAUUAUUUGAGAUAAGUC